rnacentral:lncRNA from 1 species
UGAAACUCAGCCUCAGGGGAGCAAUGAAGCAAUUCUCACGGGGAGGUAGUAUUCGGGAAACUGCUAUGGGCUAUUGCUUACUCUAUUUUAGGACACUCAGUUAUUAGUUGUUGAUAAAUUUUGAAUUAAUCAUGAACUAUUUUAAUUAGAUCCGAGUGAUUUCCUGUAAUUAACGUGAGGUGUCUUGUGAUGAUUAUUAUAUUUUCCAAUUUUCGGAGAAAUAAUUUAGUACUUCAAUAACACAUUUAAAGUAGAUUUGCAAGAAAAACUUCUGGUGACUGGACUGUAGUAUUGUGCAAUGGUAUCAGUUUUUGGAUCAUUUGUCAGUUGUAGAUGAAUUCUGAGGGAGGAAACCGUAAUUCAAAUCUCACUGAAGAAUCACCAAUGAAGUAUGUCUGACGUUCCUGAUGAGAACUAAAUGACAUUUGGAAUAAAAUAGUGUGAAAAGAUGAAAUUCUUCUUCUAGAAAGCGUCCAAAAUCCAUCAAAAAUUAAGUUCAAAUACUCAGGUACCUCCAAACCUGGAAGGUUACCACCAGCCCCAGAGUUUUACAUGGAAGUUCCGGUAAGUAGCAAAAAACAAAUUUAUAAAAUCAAAUAACACGCAUAUAAAAUCACUAAUUGCACUAAAUUAAUAGAAGGAAUAUGAAAAUCUUACUUAUUGUGGCAAAUGAAGCCAAUCUUGCCAAUUUAAAAAGUAAAAAAAUAUGAUCAAAUUUGAAAUUUGAUUGAAAGAAUCCCAACACGUUUUAGAUAAUAUCAUUUUAAAUAUUUAAAUGAAUCAGAUAUUGAGAUAGUUGCAUAUUGAUGAUUAAUUAUUAUGGUGAUACAGCUCUUCUUUAAACAUGUAAAAUACAGUCAUACAUUUAAAAUAUUUAAGCACCUUAAACUUAUUUACUCAAUUACAAUUUCCAAUGAGCCUCAUCAUGUUUCAACAAAUCUGGAAAAAUGGAUGAACAGCAGAUAUUUAAUCAAGUCUUCAGAGGAUUCAAUAUCAUUUUUUUCGACUAUAGGUUACUUCAAUUGAUUAUUUUAUUUACAGCAUUAUUUCUUCUAUAAUUUUAUUUGCUUCAAUUAUGUGUACAGUAAGUUUUGCCAGUAUGAUUCUAUAACUGAUAUUUUGAAAUAAAAGCUAUCAGAUAUUAGAGUCUUUAGAGUUUAGAUGUAUCGACUCUGUAGUUACAAUUUGAAAGAUAAAUUCUUUACUUGAAGACAUUUCAUUGCAGCCUGUCAUCCCAACAAAACAGAAUUCAUAAGCCUCAUCUUCAAUCAUAGUUAACACUGAGUUAUCUUUAUCUAAGAAUGGAAACUAAUAAAAUUUGCUAGUUUUAUUUUGAAAGAUGACAGCAGAGUUAGCUUUCAUUCUUUUAGAGUCACAUUAGGUGAGUCCAAGGACACCCUUUCAUCUUAGUAACAACUCCAAUAUUGCAAAGCCCCUAUUUAUAGAUGCAUUCAUCGAAAUUAAAAGAAAAUUCAAUCGAUCAGUUAAUAGAUGUUCUGAAUCAUAAGAAAUUUAUUGUUUUCAUCUGAAUUUUAAGACAGUUCAUUAGCCUACUCCAUUGUAAAAAAUAUUCCACUAUUAUAUUAUGAAGAAUCAUAAUUAUUGUAAGAAACAAGAAAAUAAUUAUUGAUUUGAAUGAUAUCUAGUAAAUCGAGUACCUUAUCAAAACUGGGCACCUUCCGCACCUAUUGAUAAUGGCACACAUCAUAUAGGCUACCUCCCCCUCUGGAGCCACCACUGGUAGGCCUACUCUUAACUCAUUCAAUUUUUUAUUAUUUUGUAGAAAUGAGUAUUCAAAAUAUGUAUGAUGUAUAGGUACUACUAUACAGAGCAAUAUUUAUAUAAGCAUUUAUUUCAUAAAAUAUUUAUUGUGAAAUAGAAAAUCCAGUUUUUUUAGAAUAGUCUAAUUGAUCAUUUCAAUAAUUGAUUGGAUAUUUUAUUAGAGUUGGAUUUGAUUUUCAUUUCAAAUUGCCGGUUUAUUGUGUAUUUGCUAGGUACCCUUAUUACUCACUAAAAAUUCAUAUUAAACUUAAGAACCUUUCAGACUUUUAAAAAUGCAAAGUAUAGCCUAAGUGGGUGCAGCAGUAAACGAAUGCAGUUGAGGUAUAACUCCUACCAUUAUCUAUGCAAGAUUUUCACAUAGAUAAUUAUUGUAUGAAUCAGGAAUAUUUUAUGCAGGAAAUAACCAUUUCAUACCAGCAUUUUUCCUUGUAUUAUUUUUUUCUGCCGAAAUCACUUCCUUGUUCUAUACGUUAAAAAAUUAACUAGCUCGAAUUUAUUUUUAAGACUAAAAUUGAUGUGAUUUAUUAUAAUGAUGGUUCGAAUCUAUAAUUAAAUUUGACACAAUUCAUAUCAAAAUGGUCUAUUAAGCUGCAAGUUAGAGUUAGUUAUCUAUUUAAAUUAUCUUCAUUUCAUUAUAGUUGAACCAUUCUAUCCUAUUAAUGC